GACGUAGGGCGCGAGCGUUGUCCGGAUUUAUUGGGCGUAAAGGGCGCGUAGGCGGCAUGCCAAGCGUGUGGUGAAAGCUCGGGGCUCAACCCCGGGUCGGCCGUGCGGACUGGCAUGCUCGAGCACUGUAGAGGCAGGCGGAAUUCCGGGUGUAGCGGUGGAAUGCGUAGAGAUCCGGAAGAACACCGGUGGCGAAGGCGGCCUGCUGGGCAGUUGCUGACACUGAGGCGCGACAGCGUGGGGAGCAAACAGG
rnacentral:rRNA from 1 species